rnacentral:rRNA from 1 species
ACGAUAGAGGUCCGCCUGCCCAGUGACUAUAUGUUCAACGGCCGCGGUAUUUUGACCGUGCAAAGGUAGCGCAAUCACUUGUCUUUUAAAUGGAGACCUGUAUGAAUGGCAUCACGAGGGCUUAACUGUCUCCUUUCUCAAGCCAAUGAAAUUGAUCUCUCCGUGCAGAAGCGGAGAUAAAUACAUAAGACGAGAAGACCCUAUGGAGCUUUAGACACUAAGAUAGCUUAUGUCAACUACUCCUAAUAAAGAACCGAACUAAAUAAGUCCUGUCCUAAUGUCUUUGGUUGGGGCGACCCUGGGGAGAUAAAGAACCCCCAUGUGGACUGGAAACAUGUUUCCAAAACCAAGAGCUUCCGCUCUAAGAAGCAGAACUUCUGACCAACUAGAUCCGGCAAAGCCGAUCAACGGACCGAGUUACCCUAGGGAUAACAGCGCAAUCCCCUUUUAGAGGCCAUAUCGACAAGGGGGUUUACGACCUCGAUGUUGGAUCAGGACAUCCUAAUGGUGCAGCCGCUAUUAAGGGUUCGUUGUUCAACGAUAAAGC